GGGCAUGCGAGGGCUGUCGCUGACUCAAAGUCGUGCACGCCCGAGUGUGUCGCCUCACAUAAUAAUCCAUCUCACCCUUUGUGCAUCACCGCGUGGGCACCCCUUUGGGAUCAUCUCGGAGGGGGCUCGCGUUUUCACACAAAACCCCCCUUUUAAAAGUGUAGAAUGACCUCAUUUAUGCGCUAACCCGCAAUCAAUACAACUUUCAACAACGGAUCUCUUGGCUCUCGCAUCGAUGAAGAACGCAGCGAAAUGCGAUACGUAAUGUGAAUUGCAGAAUUCAGUGAAUCAUCGAAUCUUUGAACGCACCUUGCGCCCCCUGGUAUUCCGAGGGGCACACCCGUUUGAGUGUCGUGAAAACCUCAACCUCCUUGGUUUCUUCUGGAGACCAAAGCAGGCUUGGACUUUGGAGGCCUUUGCUGGCACCUCUCGCCAGCUCCUCUUAAAUGAAUUAGCAGGGUCCUCUUUGCUGAUCCUCGACGUGUGAUAAGAUGUUUCCAUGUCUUGGUUUCUGGCUCUGUCACCUUUGGGACCCGCUUCUAACCGUCUUCAACCUUGCGUUGAGACAACGUUCGAGCAUGUCUCCCUUCUCGGGAAGCUCCCUCGACCCCACGAACCCUUGACCUCAAAUCGGGUGAGACUACCCGCUGA
rnacentral:rRNA from 1 species